GCAAGCAGGGCUUCCCUUACGAUCAGCGAAGUUAAGCAACGUCCAGUCUGGUCAGUACCUAAAUGGGUGAUCACUUGGGAAUACCAUGUGUUGUAAG